rnacentral:misc_RNA from 1 species
AACGCACAUUGCGCCCAUAAGUAUUCUUGUGGGCAUGCCUGUUCGAGCGUCAUUUCAACCUUCAGUUUUUAACUGAUGUUGAGAAUUGCGUGUGAACGCAGUUUUCUAAAGAAAUUGGCAAGUAAAUGUAAAGCCGAGUGUAGUAAAUCUUCUCUCACUUUUGGUUUUUUUACAUUGACUUUCGAAAAGUGUUUCGACACAAAAAAGGUUGACCUCGAAUCAGGUAGGAAUACCCGCUGAACUUAA